rnacentral:lncRNA from 1 species
GUUAUCAUUCGACGAGAGCGAUGCCUUCGGCACUCCGUUAUCAUUUGGCGGGCGUGAUGCCUUCGGCACCCGGUCAUCAUUCGACGAGAGCGAUGCCUUCAGCACCCCGUCAUCAUUAGACGAGAGCGAUGCCUUCGGCACCCUGCCAUCAUUCGACGAGAGCGACACCUUCGGCACCCCGUCAUCAUUAGCGCGAGCCAUGCCUUCGAC